AUUGAACGCUGGCGGCAUGCUUUACACAUGCAAGUCGAACGGUAACAGGCCUUCGGGUGCUGACGAGUGGCGAACGGGUGAGUAAUGCAUCGGAACGUACCCAGAGGUGGGGGAUAACGCAGCGAAAGCUGUGCUAAUACCGCAUAUGAUCUGAGGAUGAAAGCGGGGGACCGAGCAGCAAUGUUUGGCCUCGCGCCUUUGGAGCGGCCGAUGUCGGAUUAGCUAGUUGGUGGGGUAAAGGCCUACCAAGGCGACGAUCCGUAGCUGGUCUGAGAGGACGACCAGCCACACUGGGACUGAGACACGGCCCAGACUCCUACGGGAGGCAGCAGUGGGGAAUUUUGGACAAUGGGCGCAAGCCUGAUCCAGCAAUGCCGCGUGCGGGAAGAAGGCCUUCGGGUUGUAAACCGCUUUUGGCAGGAACGAAACGGUGUCCGCUAAUACCGGGCGCUAAUGACGGUACCUGCAGAAUAAGCACCGGCUAACUACGUG
rnacentral:rRNA from 1 species